rnacentral:misc_RNA from 1 species
CCAUCAAUGGUCAAACAAGGU